rnacentral:rRNA from 1 species
UACGAAGGGGGCUAGCGUUGCUCGGAAUCACUGGGCGUAAAGGGUGCGUAGGCGGGUCUUUAAGUCAGGGGUGAAAUCCUGGAGCUCAACUCCAGAACUGCCUUUGAUACUGAAGAUCUUGAGUCCGGGAGAGGUGAGUGGAACUGCGAGUGUAGAGGUGAAAUUCGUAGAUAUUCGCAAGAACACCAGUGGCGAAGGCGGCUCACUGGCCCGGUACUGACGCUGAGACACGAAGGCCAGGGGAGCAAACGGG